UACGGAGGGUGCAAACGUUGCUCGGAAUCAUUGGGCGUAAAGCGCACGUAGGCGGCCCAGCAAGUCGGGGGUGAAAGCCCUCGGCUCAACCGAGGAAGUGCAUUCGAAACUACUGGGCUUGAAUACUGGAGAGGAUCGCGGAAUUCCCGGUGUAGAGGUGAAAUUCGUAGAUAUCGGGAGGAACACCAGUGGCGAAGGCGGCGAUCUGGACAGAUAUUGACGCUGAGGUGCGAAAGCGUGGGGAGCAAACAGG
rnacentral:rRNA from 1 species